rnacentral:rRNA from 1 species
AGGAUGAACGCUGGCGGCGUGCCUAACACAUGCAAGUCGAACGUCCUGUCUCGCAAGAGGCAGGGAGUGGCGGACGGGUGAGUACCACGUGGGUCAUCUACCGUGAGGUGAGGAAUACCGGCGAGAAAUCGCCGACAAGACCGCAUAGGCUCGAUGCAAGUCGAGCAAAGCUCUUUCGAGAGAGGGAGCGCCACACGAGGAGCCUGCGCCCGAUUAGCUAGCUGGUGGAGUAACGGUUCACCAGGGCGACGAUCGGUAGCUGGUCUGAGAGGACGAUCAGCCACACUGGGAUUGAGAACGGCCCAGACUCCUACGGGGGCAGCAGUGAGGAAUUUCGUCAAUGGGGGCAACCCUGAACGAGCAACGCCGCGUGCAGGAAGAGGUUUCGGAUCGUAAACUGCUUUCUCGGGAAGAGAAUGGACGGUACCCGAGGAAUCAGCCCGGCUAACUACGUGCCAGCAGCCGC